CAGAGGAAAAGAAGAGACUGAAUCAGCUGAAUAUGAUAUCAAGCCAGCAAAUGACUUCAUUAACAGGAUGAGGAGAGACAAAUGGCAACAAGUAAGAGACACAGCCAGCAAGACAGAUAACAGAUGGGCAAAUUUAAUCUUGAAAUGAGCUGUAUAUUAGUGACAGAAAAGCAUAAGAGAACUGGACAGAAGGGUGAGAACUGGGGCCCAGUAUGAAGGCAGAAAGCCCUGGGUAAGACAAAGUGGCCAUGACACUGCAGUGCCCCCCAGUGAGCAAUGAAGUUGUGGGAACAGCUGAGGAUGAUCAUGAUGAUGAUGAAGAGCACUUACUGUCGCUCUCUAAAGUUGUUGUUUGCCAGAAGGCUGCAGUGCAUUAUUCACUUUAACAGGACCAAACCAACAAGCAAAAUCAAGGGAGAGCCCCUUUUUCCUGCAACUCAGCUGCUCCAGUCCCAUUUUCACUUCUGUCCUUGAGAACACUGACAAGGACAACAAGCCUGAUGGGACUUGAACUGGGAAAGGACAAUCUUUCUCUCGGUUGCCCUAAAGAGAGGCUUUCUAGGAAAGCGGAAGGUUGUUGGCAUGCUUGAGGUGCUGGCGGGGGACUCCAGAGAUUUGGGUUCAAUUUGUGGCUGUGCCACAGACUUCCUGUGUGUACCCUUGGUUAUCCAAGUCUAUGAGGGAGAAGCCAAUGCAUGGACCUCUAAAAUGUUCUGCCUGACAAAAUGGCUGCAGCUCCUGUUGAUAGGUGGAUGCCAUGGAAAUAUAUUCAGUGGAAACAAAAUCGUUCAAGGCAUUGAGAAGCUAUCAACAAAAAUAUGAAAACCUGGGAAUUCUAUUUGAGGUGGGUGGGGAUGCUAGUCACCAGGUUUGACCUGAUUUAUUUAAUUUUGGAAGAAGAAUAAUUCCUCUCUGAGCUGAUAGCCUGUACAUAAAAGUUUCAACUCUAUUUGAAAUGGCUGAGAAAUGAAUUCCAAGGGAAAAAUAACACUGGCUGUGUAAUGGACAUUCAGACAGAGUCUUUGACUAGAAUGUUGUUCACCAUCUUAGCAAGCAGCAACUAUAAUUAUAGGUUGGGAAGGAGAGCUGUAUUUCAUGUGAUUAGGGAUUGUUUGCAUUCCUAUCCAUUAGGAUACAAAAAGGAUGAAGUUGUUGUGUGUGUCUUUUUUUUUUUUUUUUAAGCCUGCACUGAAGGUGUUUCACUCUGGGAUUUACUUAGCUCCUUGCCAAAACAGCCACAAGGAUGGUCAUGUAAUUAUCAAAAAUAUGUUUGUUUGUUUUUUUUAAUCUACACUGGAAGAACUUGUGGACCUAACCUGACAGUAGUGCUGCUCAUACUUUGUAUGAUUUAAUGUUUUCCUUAAAUUAACAGCAAUUUUUUAAAAUUUAAUCAAUUCUGGUUCUAAUUUUCCUUGUCAUAGGGUGAUAAAAUCAGAUGCACCUGAUUCACUCACUAUCCAUUUUCCCUAGUGUAAUUUAUCAUAUGAGAGUAAUGUCCUGGAUAAAUCACAGUUGAAUACAUAGUGAAGCUGGCCAAAAAAUUAUGAAGAUUCUCAAAUAUUUUAAUGAUAAAAUAUCUAUUUAAGGGAGAGUUGUUUCUGAUAGUGUUCAGGGUUUAUUUUUAUUAAAAUCUAAUUUCAGGAGUUUUAGUUGAUUGGUUUUUGAAGGUCUCCAGAGGGAUAGUUUACGAGAAUAAGAACAAUCAAAGAAAAUUGGAUGCCAGGGUAACUUUCUAUAGCUGCUAAUCUGAGGGUUCAUUUGGUAAAGGACAUGGUCAAAGGAAGCACUUUGGAAU